GGAAGGAUGCACUGUAUGAAUGGUUUCCGACAUGCCUGAGCUGAGGACGCUUACCUUUAACAGUAAGGCGCACUCUGGUUGACAUACAUGUUGUACAUAGCGAAAGUUGCAAAUGCGAUAAGACACGCGUGCGGUUGCAGAUCUGAAGCCAGGAUAAGAUAAAGAGAUACGAUAAUGUCGGAGUCACUGUGAACGCAGCACAAGCUAGCUGAAGCUAACCGUUAGCUGCGCUGUUGAUAAUGACAACUGCGGAGGGAGAGAUGCUGAGAAGACAAGAAAGCUGUGUCACAGAUGUGAGCCGACAGUCAGCAGGCUUCCAGUAGCCAUGAAGGAGGAAUGUGCAGGUCCGUCUUUGUUCGAGGACCUGGAUUUUCCCAUAACAGACUCCUCCCUGUUCUUUGACGGCUCCACACCCAUCGCUCAGCUCCGCGGAGAAAUCACAUGGCUACGUCCACAGGAGAUCUGCCGGUCUCCGUCUCUCUUCCCCACCAAUGCUAACCUGGCUCAUGCUAAACAAGGACUGUUGGGUGACUGCUGGUUUCUCUGUGCGUGCACCUUCCUGCUCAAGAACCAGCAUCUUUUAGACAAGGUGUUUCCUCCUGGCCAGCCCCAGUGGGGUAGCAGCAAUUACAGGGGCUCCUUUCAGUUUCUCAUCUGGCAGCAGGGCCACUGGACAGAGGUGACCAUCGAUGACCGGCUGCCCUGCAUGAAUUCCUGUCUCUGUUUCUCACGCUGCCACUCCCCUUCUGCGUUUUGGAUUGCUUUAUUGGAAAAGGCCUAUGCCAAGCUACAUGGUUCAUAUGAGCAGCUCUGGGCCGGACAGGUGUCGGAGGCCCUUGUGGAUCUGACUGGUGGUGUCGCCGAGCGCUGGAGUCUGAGAGAGUUUGGUUUAGAUGAGGAAAAACGGCAAGCAGAGCAGGACAGUGACCAAGACAGGAGGAAAAAGCUGGACCUGAACCUCCUGUGCUGUGUGAAAGAAGAGUGUGCAUUGAGCUGCUCCACCCACAGCACUCCUGGAGGACUCAGAGAGCUGGAUCAGCACCACGCUCUGACUGUGAUGGAGUGGUUGGAUGUGAGGAAGGUGUCAGGGAGUGACGUGCGGCUGCUCAGGAUCAGAAAUCCAUGGGGACGAUGCUGCUGGGCAGGUGCUUGGACUUGGAGUGGUAUUGGUUGGAGUUUUCUCGACCCAGUUUGCGCUGCAGAGCUGCGAGACCGAACAGCAGAGGGCGAAUUCUGGUUAGAUGAGGCUGAGUUUACGUCUCAGUUUGAUGACAUCACAGUGGGAUAUCCAAUUGGCAAAGAUGGACUCAUGAAGAGUGUUUACACAGGAACCCUUCUCACACACAGCCAUCAGCUGGCUAGCCGGUGGAUUAAAGGCCACUCUGCUGGCGGAAGCCGAAACACCAGCAGCUACAGCAGCAAUCCCAAGUUUUGGCUCAAAGUGUGUGAGACAGGAGAGAUUCUCGUAUCCUUGCUGCAGCAUCGAAAAUGCAGGAACACAGAGAAAUACGCACAAAUAGACCCGGAGGGCAUCAGUAACACAAAGCACCAGCAUUACCAAGCUAUUGCUCUACAUAUGUGGAAGGUGGAAAGGAAGCGUUUUAGUCUGAGCCGGAUGUUGAACAAGCCGCCUUGUGCUUCUACUCACUGCCAUUCCUACGAGAGAGAGGUGGUCCUCUGCCGGCCGCUGGAGCCUGGAUACUACCUCCUCAUUCCCAGCACCUACCAGCCAGGAGCCGAGGCCCGCUUCCUCCUCCGGGUCUUUUCCUCCUCCCCCACAUCACUCAGUGCCCUGAAAAGCCCAGCACCCUCUCUGCCACUGACAUCGGAUGGUGAGUGGGAGACCAGCUUCUUCCGCGGCUCGUGGAUAGAAGGAAGGACGGCAGGAGGAAGCAGGAACUUCCCCUCGUACUGGAAGAACCCCUGCUUCCCUUUCGCAGUGUGUGAUGAGCCAGCACCGACAUCUGGAGUUAAUGUCAGGAUUACUCUGCACCAGAGCCGUCCUGACACCCAUUUGCAUCCCAUUGGUUUCCACGUUUACAAGGUACUACAGGUGGAGUCAGAACAGACGGCAGCCAAAGAAAAUGAUCCUGUGGCCAGCUGCAUCCCGCACUGUUACACCCAGGAUGUCAGUCUGGCCUGCACUCUUCCUCCGGGAUCCUACACCAUAGUGCCGUCCACUUAUCAGCCCGACUGCUCAGCAAAGUUUAUAAUCAGCCUGGCUAGAAAAAUACACAGCUGUUCUGUGAAGUGCACCAAUUGCUUUUGCAGUAAAAAAUCCACUCAUGAUGCUGAAAAAGAGAAGCUGAUGCUAAAUGAGAUGAGUUUGUUUAUUAUAACUAAUUGAAAAACCGCCAUUACAGUUUUGAUCUAAAACAAUGUCUGUCUUAUGUUUCUGCCAGGAAAGUAGUGAAGAGUCAGGAAAAGCUCGGGAGUGCCAUUCACGAGGUCUCUCACAUCUCUGUGAUGAAAACCUAGUUCCAUGGGACUGACGUCAGUCCACCACCCUGUGCCUCUUGGCCCACGAUAAAACGCCCGGUUCCACAGUCAGCGCCGACCACAGAAAGCAUGACUGUGUUUGUGUUUGUAUAUAUGGACCAUGAGCGGCUGGCCAGGCAGGGGGACAAACCACCAGGGUUUCUGUACAGCUCCACAAUCAUCUGUGAUUAGGACAUCAGAGGUUGUCGGUGGGCUGGGCUGCUAAUGAAGUAUGACGGGACUGACUGGUGUAAACAAACAGCGGCAACUGAAGAAUACCGCCACUGCUCUCGCUCAUUCACUCACUGGUGCGCCUGCCGGCCCAGAACAAAGAGUCCUCUCAGAGUCUCCACACAGAGGCAUGGGGGGGGGGGGGGGAUUGUCUGCAGUAGCAAAGCCAACCAAGUCGCACAAAACCAAACCAAGCCAUACCAAAAUUCCAAUUUUUUGGAAUUUUCCAGAUAUACCUUCCCCUACAUACAUUGUUGCAUUGUGUCAAGAGGCAAACACUGCUUUGACUAUGAUUUUACAUCAAAACCAUUAAAACUUUGAGCCAAACCCAGAGAAGUCUACCUUGUUCCCCAUCCUCACCCUUCGCCUCCUUUUCAGUCCCUUAUACUCGGUCCAGAGAUCUUUCUGGACCUGAACAGAGCCACUGUUUGAAGUUGCUGCAAGAACAGAGGACAAGCGAAGAGGAUGAAACAAGAAACACGGCACAUCAGAGGAUGCCGGUUCAAACAACGAGGCCGCCAGUUCUCUUUUCUUCUAUUGAGGCUGUGCAUGUGCGGUGGUGUGUGUCCAUCUGCUCGUACCCAUCCAUAUCUGUGAGCUGAAGUCACCAGACUUCUGAUCGCUUCAAUCAGAGGGACUGCACACUUUUACAUAAACAGGAUCUCAUUGACCAGUGGUACUUUGUUGUGUUAGCUAUUUAUCAUAUUUUGGAUACAUUAAAUAAAAUGUUAAACUGAACAAAAUUGAGUAGAUUUAAUGGGAUUUUGACAUGUGCUAGUUUCUCUUUGCAUUGUCUUUUUUUUCAGUAAGAAUUUUUUCCCAAAAGUUUUGAGUUUUUUUCCGCUCAGACUUUAUUGCUUUACCUUUGACAUCGAUUUCUCACGUCUCUAUGCUAUACUGAAGGUUAGUAA